rnacentral:misc_RNA from 1 species
UACAGGGUUUGCUAGCGUUUUUCGGAAUUACUGGGCGUAAAGCGCGCGCAGGCGGUCUUUUAAGUCUGAUGUGAAAGCCCCCAGCUCAACCGGGGAGGGUCAUUGGAAACUGGGAGACUUGAGUACAGAAGAGGAGAGUGGAAUUCCACGUGUAGCGGUGAAAUGCGUAGAUAUGUGGAGGAACACCAGUGGCGAAGGCGACUCUCUGGUCUGUAACUGACGCUGAGGCGCGAAAGCGUGGGGAGCAAACAGG